UUAAUUUGUAAAAGUUAUAAUUGAAUAUAUUAUUAGUUGUAUUUAUGUAGUGUUGUUGUAAAUGUUUAAAAUGUAAUUAUGGUAUGGAACCAAACAAAACCGCAUUGGAUCGGAUUGGACUGAACCCGAACGGUUCCAUAAUUAUAUUUGGACCCGACGAUUCACUUACUAAAUACCCGAAAUUUUUCGUUCCGUUCAGCUCUCCCGGACUAUGCCCAGCUCUAGCCACAACCUUCUCGUUCAACGGAGUUCAAUAGCUUAUCAGGUCCAUGAUGCCAUGAAAGAUUAGUAGCCUAUGCACUAUUGCCAGCUGUACAUCAACAUCUAGGGAGCUAAGGUUAAUAUCUUUAAGUGAAUUGUGCUGUUUAUCAAUAUAAAAGAAUAGCAAUUGUUGCAUUCUUCCUCCCUAAUAGGUGUGGGAUUAACACCGGAAGUCAAGAAGAGAUUUUGACAAAUCACUACUAGAAUACAAGUCUACUUCAAUUAAAUAGAACAAAUAUAACAUCCCAGAGGCACAAAUAAUUGCCAUAUUGCAUGUAAAUUCCAUUCUUAGUAACUAUACUUCACUCUAAUGUCUAUCCGAUAAAUGUAUUUAAUUCUGUCAAUCCAGUAAAUACACUCUAAUUUGAUUUCAAUCAAGUAACUCCAUUCAACUUCAUUACUUGGGCUGACAGAAAUCAAUAACGUGACAGUCAAUAAAUGAUGACUGUCAUUUCAAUAAAUGACGUCAGCAAAAGAUAGAUGCACGUAAUGAUCGUCAUCUACUGACUAUCAUGUCAUUGAUUUUCGUCAAUUGAAUCGGACAGUUAUCUUGAUUGAAAUCAAAUUAAAGUGUAAC
rnacentral:lncRNA from 1 species